ensembl:ncRNA lncRNA:CR42861 long non-coding RNA:CR42861
ACACUGUCCGUUUUGCAUUUGCAAUUGCUUGUAAGCAAAAAUGGUAAACUUUAAAAUUGUUAAUAUUUAAUAUAAAGGCUGAAGACAUAGAUGAGACUGACCAACUGCGUUUCGCCAUGGAGCACACCAACGGCUGUAAUUGGCUACAAGUCGUGUUUGAUACCUACUGCUGGGGGAGUUAAAGCUUAAGGUGCUGCAAGGAUGUCUUGGAAUUCCAAUGGACAAGGACUUUCCUUCGUCGCAAUGGGCCAUCAGCAGCUGGAUGCGGUGGAGCAGUACCUGGAGCAGCCAACCCAACUACCUAGCAAUAUGUGGGCUAAUCCUGAGCCCCAGAAAUCAAGCUGGAACCACCGAGUGAACCGGUGACCAAGAAGGAUUCUUCGCCACCAGAUUUGAACGCGAAAUAAUAUGUGAAAUAAUAUAUAAUGUAUAUAAUGUGUAUUGAAACAGAAACCUCCGGUAUUUAAUUUAGAACAUAGUUAAACUCUCAUCCGGUUUACCUUACUCACUUCUAUACGUAAUUGCAUUUAAUAUCCG